UACGGAGGGUGCAAGCGUUAUCCGGAUUCACUGGGUUUAAAGGGUGCGUAGGUGGGCAGGUAAGUCAGUGGUGAAAUCUCUGAGCUUAACUCAGAAACUGCCGUUGAUACUAUCUGUCUUGAAUAUAGUGGAGGUGAGCGGAAUAUGUCAUGUAGCGGUGAAAUGCUUAGAUAUGACAUAGAACACCAAUUGCGAAGGCAGCUUGCUACACUAUCAUUGACAACUGAGGCACGAAAGCGUGGGGAUCAAACAGG
rnacentral:rRNA from 1 species